GCGUCGGGCUCCCGCGGCGGGGGCUGGGUAUGUGCUGAGCGCUCAGUGUCGUCCUGCACGCUCCUAGGCGCUCACUCUCCGCACAGCGCUCUGCACCUGGGAAGCGCUCGAUGGACGAGCCCGGGCUGGGGAGUCAGGGGUCGUGGGUUCUAAUCCCGCCUCCGCCCCUUUGGCUUCUCUGUGGCCUUGGGCAGGUCACUUCCCUUCUCCGGGCCUCAGUCACCUCAUCUGCAAAAUGGGCAUGGAGCCGGGGCGCCCCACCUGGAGCCACCUGAUGACCCUGUGUCUCCCCCAGCGCUUAGCACAGUGCUCCGCACACCUUUCUUUCUAGGUCUGCACAGAAGUAUUUGGGCAAUCAAAAUGACCGAGUUAGAGCCACCUUAUCCAUUCGCCUUUGCAAAAAUGGUAAUUGUCUUCUUACGAUUUGCCGAUCUAAUAGAAAGGCUCUAUUUCCAAAUAGGAGCUACUGAUCUUACCAUAAGAUUUUUAUUGAAAUGUUUCGAUUUUAUUAAAAUGGUUGAUUUCGAUCCAAA